GCCGGGGUGGCAGAGUGGUUAAUGCGCGGGCAACCCGCUUCUUACAGGAGCAGGUCCGCAACUCGAGAUUACCACAACCAGUCAGCCCGUGACCUUCGGGUCUCGUGGGUUCGAAUCCUACCCCCGGCG
rnacentral:tRNA from 1 species